CAGUAGCCGCGGUAAUACGUAGGGUGCAAGCGUUAAUCGGAAUUACUGGGCGUAAAGCGUGCGCAGGCGGUUUUGUAAGACAGAGGUGAAAUCCCCGGGCUCAACCUGGGAACUGCCUUUGUGACUGCAAGGCUAGAGUACGGCAGAUGGGGAUGGAAUUCCGCGUGUAGCAGUGAAAUGCGUAGAUAUGCGGAUGAACACCGAUGGCGAAGGCAAUCCCCUGGGCCUGUACUGACGCUCAUGCACGAAAGCGUGGGGAGCAAACAGGAUUAGAUACCCGCGUAGUCCCUGUCUCUUAUAC
rnacentral:rRNA from 1 species